rnacentral:lncRNA from 1 species
UCUGAAAGGCCCUUACCAAGCGUGCCCCGCGGCGGCUGCAGGGAGGAGACCUGGGGAGGACCUGGGGAGGAGGGCAUGUUCUGCAGCAGCUGCAUCGGGCAAUUCUGUGCCUUUAAAAAAAAUGGAGCUAACCGAUUGCGCCGAGGCACGGCGUUCUGUGCUUGUGUUGGCCUGUCCUACUUAGGAAUUGGCAGCGUGGAAACCUCGCGGAGUUUUCCAAGUGUAUUGCAGAGCACGUCGAAGGUUACAGGAAGCCAGCAGGGACAGCUCAAGUCUGAAAGGAAUGAUUAAUCACAUGCAAUUUUAAGGCCCGUGGUGCGUUUCUUGUUGCCCUUUAGGGUACUCAAUUUCGCUUCGUAUAAAUGAAAAAAAAAAAAAAGUCUUAAUGAUAGAGCUCCAAAAAUAGUUUAAUCAAAAAUAACAUAGUAUGCAUUGGCUCAUCUGUGAUGCUGUUGUUCCUCUGUAAAUUUAAGAAGCACCACGGGAAUAAAACAUUUCUAGUUGAGCUUGCCAGAGAAACAGAGUGAGUCACCGUCACUGCUUUUUUCUAAAGUUAAGGUAUUGACUAGCAUCCUGUCCUUGGAGGCUAAAGUAUUUGGGGAGAGCCUCUGACAAUCCAAACAUUCUCAGGUCAUUAACUCAGAAACCUCGUGUAUUCAGGAGACUCAUGGUUACAUCUCAAAUACUAAAAGUCACAGCUGUUAGGAAAAAGAAGGAAAUGAUGGCUCAGCAGCCACAGGAAAGGACCAUAAACGGGUGUGCUUUACAUCUUGGAGAACAAGAUUUUUUUCUGUUGCUGUAAAUUCAGGUGCAGAUCGAAGCAUCUGUGAAAUGAUCUGAAAGAUAAGGUUAUACCCCAUGUAGAAGUGGCUAAGAAAACAAGCCAUCACUAUGUUGGUGGAGGAACUGCAGUUUGAUUCUGUUAAGUAUUCAGAAGCAAAUUUGCAGUGGAUGAAUGUAGCAGCAAACUAAUUUUGUCAUCAGUAAUGCAUGAAAGAAAAAACAAUGAAGAUGCAUUUGUGUAUACCCAGGCUUAAAAGAAUUAAACAUGGAUUCAAGAUUCCUCAUCAGCCAAAGGAUCAAAGUCCUAAUAUUUCAGAAACCAGUGAGGGGCAGCAGGUUUUCACAUGGAAAAUAUUACUGUCUUUCAUGUUUAAGGAAAUACGGAGCUGUGAGUAUUGCACACUUUAUUAUUGUAAUGAAUUCCAUGCAUCACCUCAUUGAAUAUUAUAACAAAUAUGUCACUGUAUGCUCCUGUAAAUGAAAGUGAUUUUUUGCUGUUUUGUAGAAGCUUGAUGUACAUGUUCUCUAUAGCUGGGGAAAAAAAAAAAAAAAAAAAAAAAAAAAGAAUGUCCUAACAGAUGUGUCUGCAAAGCUGUAGAGUGCCUGUAGGAUUGGUUUCAUAAGUAAAUCUAUCACAUGCACAGCACAUAUUGAGGCACUACUUUUAGAAAUGAGGCCAGAAUAUUAGGAUAAAAGAAUGAGAAGAGCUUUGAUUUAUUAGCUGCAACUAGCUAGCUGAGUAACUGAACAGUCAGUGUUACUCAGAAAUCUCUUUGUGCUUCAGAGAAAUAACUGCUUGUUAACUAGACACACUAUUAAUACAGGUACUGUAUCAACCAGACUAUUAAACGAAGCUGUAAACAGUAAAAAUGUACCUUACAGUGAACACAACCCAUUCUUGCUUCUAGUGCCCCUACUCCAGUGGACUACCUGCAUGUGGUCUGUCUGUUGUCUUGAUCCCAGCUACUCAGUUAUGCCACAGGGAAGCGACCAGCCUGGAGGUCUGGAGCAAAGCAUUUUGGUAUGCCAGCCAUUAAUGCUCACCUGAGUGAUAAUGUGUGGCUAUUAAUAACCCAAGGGAAUAAUGAUUUAAAUCUUUUUUUUUUUUUUUUUUUUUUUUUUUGCUUCUGUUCAUGAGAACAGAAUAGCUAAUCUGUUUUACAGAGAAUUUCUCCAUGGUUUCUUCAUGAAGCUUUGAACCAGGGACCAAAUCCUUGUUUGGCCAAACAAUUUUCUGUAUACCAUUUGAAAAUACAUCUGGCAGUUGCCAUUUGGACACACUCCUAUCUCCUAUCCUCAGCUGAAGACAACUUUCCUGCACAGCUUUUCAGUAACAUCUCAGUGUGUAUAUACAGUAAAUAUUUUGGUAGAAAUUACAAGUGAAAAUUAAAAGUCUAAAUUGUUAUGCUGUUAAACCCUGUGCAGCUGGUAAUAAUUCUAUCCAGAAUGAAUGUAAGGAAUAAAUAGAUCAUAAUUCUUUACUUGUAGUCCUAU